UACGGAGGGUGCUAGCGUUGUUCGGAAUCACUGGGCGUAAAGCGCGCGUAGGCGGCUCGGAAAGUCGGGCGUGAAAUGCCGGGGCUCAACCCCGGGACUGCGUCCGAUACUUCCGAGCUGGAGGUAGGUAGGGGAGAUCGGAAUUCCAGGUGUAGCGGUGAAAUGCGUAGAUAUCUGGAGGAAUACCGGUGGCGAAGGCGGCAUCCUGGACCGGCAUUGACGCUGAUGAGCGAAAGCUAGGGGAGCAAACGGG
rnacentral:rRNA from 1 species